rnacentral:rRNA from 1 species
UACGUAGGGCGCAAGCGUUAUCCGGAAUUAUUGGGCGUAAAGAGCUCGUAGGCGGUUUGUCGCGUCUGCCGUGAAAGUCCGGGGGCUCAACUCCGGAUCUGCGGUGGGUACGGGCAGACUAGAGUGAUGUAGGGGAGACUGGAAUUCCUGGGUGUAGCGGUGAAAUGCGCAGAUAUCAGGAGGAACACCGAUGGCGAAGGCAGGUCUCUGGGCAUUAACUGACGCUGAGGAGCGAAAGCAUGGGGAGCGAACAGG